rnacentral:rRNA from 1 species
UAGGGAAUCUUCGGCAAUGGGGGGAACCCUGACCGAGCAACGCCGCGUGAGUGAAGAAGGUUUUCGGAUCGUAAAGCCCUGUUGUUAAGGAAGAACGAGUGUGAGAAUGGAAAGUUCAUACUGUGACGGUACUUAACCAGAAAGGGACGGCUAACUACGUGCCAGCAGCCGCGGUAAUACGUAGGUCCCGAGCGUUGUCCGGAUUUAUUGGGCGUAAAGCGAGCGCAGGCGGUUAGAUAAGUCUGAAGUUAAAGGCAGUGGCUCAACCAUUGUAGGCUUUGGAAACUGUUUAACUUGAGUGCAGAAGGGGGGAGGGGAAUUCCAUGUGUAGCGGUGAAAUGCGUAGAUAUAUGGAGGAACGCCGGUGGCGAAAGCGGCUCUCUGGUCUGUAACUGACGCUGAGGCUCGAAAGCGUGGGGAGCGAACAGG